AAGAGUAAAGACCUUCUGGGACGGUUUACCAUGAUGAAGAGACAUCUCCAGUUGGCUGGCUUCAUCACAGUGGAGGUGCCAUAUUAUGACUGGCUGGAGCUGAAAACAGAUUGGCAGAAGUUGGCGUACCUGAAGGUUAAAAUGGGGAAGGCCGUGGCGAGAAAUGGCCAAGUGAACCAAUGAGUCUGGCAGACGGCUAAAUCUGAGCUUUCCCAAUCAAUGGGCCCACAGGGAAUACACACGCACACCCACGUGCAUUGCAGAAAAGCUCUGUCAUACUUUGUCAGUAAAAAAACAAACAGAUUUUAGCUCUGGUUCCCUUGGCAACACGUGGGGCUUUCCCUGUUUCCAUGGUGAUUUUAAAGCGAGGCUUUUGGAGCCAUAGAGAGAGAUGGAAAUAAUUGCAAAAGUAUAUACAAAGUCCUUCUGUAGAAGUUAUAUGAUCAACAGAAGCUUCACUUGUAUAAUUUAGGCCAAAACAUUGGGUUUAAUAUUGGCAUGUGAAUAGAUUUCAAUAAUUUAAUCUCUGAAUUUGUGUCCGCUUGUCAUGGAAUAAAUUGUUUUAUUGCCAUU